GACGAACGCUGGCGGCGUGCCUAAUACAUGCAAGUCGAACGCUGAAGAGAGGAGCUUCCUCUUCUUGGAUGAGUUGCGAACGGGUGAGUAACGCGUAGGUAACCUGCCUUGUAGCGGGGGAUAACUAUUGGAAACGAUAGCUAAUACCGCAUAACAAUGGAUGACACAUGUCAUUUAUUUGAAAGGGGCAAUUGCUCCACUACAAGAUGGACCUGCGUUGUAUUAGCUAGUAGGUGAGGUAAUGGCUCACCUAGGCGACGAUACAUAGCCGACCUGAGAGGGUGAUCGGCCACACUGGGACUGGGACACGGCCCAGACUCCUGCAGGGGGCAGCAGUAGGGGAUCUUCGGCAAUGGGGGCAACCCUGACCGAGCAACGCCGCGUGAGUGAAGAAGGUUUUCGGAUCGUAAAGCUCUGUUGUAAGUCAAGAACGGGUGUGAGAGUGGAAAGUUCACACUGUGACGGUAGCUUACCAGAAAGGGACGGCUAACUACGUG
rnacentral:rRNA from 1 species